AAAAAAAUCUGUUUCUCCUCCAAGCAUCACAACUUUCAUUUGACUCAAUUAUACACUUACAGCAAUCAAAUCAACUACACUUCCAGGCAGAAUCAUGGUUGUUAAGGGAUAAAUCGCACACCUUUUAUAGAUGGAACAAAUAACCAAUUACAUUCUUGAAGACACAACAAUUGCCAAUUCAAACAAGGCUCAUGAGCUAAACUCAGACAACACCUGGCACUCUGCCAAUCUGCUAAGUCUUGGCCUUAUGCAUUAACCGUGUCCUGAUCAUUUUCAAUGCAGCCAACUGCAGAUAUUGUGGAAGCACUUUUUUCUAUUUUAACUUUGUAUUUCAUAUCAUUAUCUCAAUCUUUUAUCAAGCUAUACAUGUUGUAUAUUCAGUUAAUAGAAAUUAAGAAAUUUCAAUCUCCAUUCUCAUCUUCAUAUGGUAUCAGAUCCAUAAUUCUCUCAUGAGAUAAUCUCCUUUUUAUUUUUUCCUUCUUCCUUGAAAUUCAGCUCUCAAUGGCCAUUGAAGCUGCCACUAGUGACACUACAGUUACCCAAUCAGCACAUUCUCCUUCUAUCCUUGUUCAAAUUAAUGCUGCUACCCAACUCCAUUUAUAUCUUGCUUCAUCUAAUCGUUUUUCUGGAAGGUCCAAUUCACAUCCUUUCUCUAUGGUCUCAAUUUGCUCAUCCUGUCCACCGGAACUUACUGUUGAAGGUGUCUCAAAAUCUAAUCCUGAUUACAUCUUUUGACAUGCCAAGACAAGAUGUAGUUCCACUAACUAUGACAUAUGAAAUCAUGUUUCCAACAAGCUCAGGGAGAUCUGCCUUUAGGUGAUCUAGCUUAACAUUUAUUUAUUUAUUUAUUUUCCUUAAACAUUGAUUCAAUUAAUUUUACCUGUGCAAUGUCUUUUGUUAAGAGCUUAUAAAUAAGAAAGUGCCAAGGGACAACAAUUCAAUAGAAAGGUCAUGAUACCUUGUUAUUAUUUAACAAUAGUAUAAAAGGGAAAUGACAAUGUAAUUUAAAAGAGACAACAUUUGGGAGGACAAUAUUGUACUAUGCUUUAUUAAUUUCUUCAUAAUCUGCAGUUAGGCAGAACCAUCAAUGCAAAGCCACUGACCCACGAAGAUUGCAACACAGUUGAUGUUUGGAUUAAUCUUCAUGAAGUCUUCAAAUGAAAAAUUAAAUUUCUGUGCGACGCUGGUACAAGUAUCACCACUUUCUGCUCCAUAUACCAAAUUGCAAGUCAAAGUGGCAUCAGUGCUCACCAAACCAACUGCAUCAGCAAAAAGUAAUGCAAGAAAAAGGAGUUACUCCAACUUUCCUUCUUACUGCAGGACAUGUACCUGUAAUAGCACCUAUUUUUAUAUGCUUUUUGCCUUUACCCUUUUUAGAAAAGAGUAAUGAUAUUUGUACAUCAUUGUGUACAUAAUGGUGCACAAAUAGAUGACAUGGAAGGUAGAGAAAGAGGAGAAAACAAAAUAAAUAAAUAAAUAAAUAAA
rnacentral:lncRNA from 1 species